UACGAAGGGGGCUAGCGUUGCUCGGAAUCACUGGGCGUAAAGGGUGCGUAGGCGGAUCUUUAAGUCAGGGGUGAAAUCCUGGAGCUCAACUCCAGAACUGCCUUUGAUACUGAGGAUCUCGAGUCCGGGAGAGGUGAGUGGAACUGCGAGUGUAGAGGUGAAAUUCGUAGAUAUUCGCAAGAACACCAGUGGCGAAGGCGGCUCACUGGCCCGAUACUGACGCUGAGGCACGAAAGCGUGGGGAGCAAACAGG
rnacentral:rRNA from 1 species